GACGAAGGAUGCCAGCGUUAUCCGGAUUCAUUGGGUUUAAAGGGCGCGUAGGUGGUCUUAUAAGUCAGUUGUGAAAUCUCUGGGCUUAACCCAGAAAUUGCCAUUGAUACUGUAGGACUUGAGUACAGUUGCCGUUGGCGGAAUAUGACAUGUAGUGGUGAAAUACAUAGAGAUGUCAUAGAACACCGAUUGCGAAGGCAGCUAACGAAACUGUAACUGACACUGAGACUCGAAAGUGCGGGGAUCAAACAGG
rnacentral:rRNA from 1 species